rnacentral:ncRNA from 1 species
UAUGGGGAGCUGCGAAAAGCGGCUGAGAGGAAGUUUGCGUUCGACCCUGUGGGAAACCACACACCUGAUCCGGAUAAUGCCGGCGAAGGGAACUCACGAU